CUGGUUAGAACAACUUUAGCUACAAGUCUGAUAAUGCCAUCAAACUUGUUACAAGUUGUUAACAGCUUGUUCCCAACUUGUUACGACAACUGGGAACAAGCAGUGCGAACACAACUUGUUGACGGCUUGUGAACAGAUUUGUAACAACUUGUUUGCAGACCUGUAACAACCUGUAACAAUAUUGUUAUAUCAUGACUGUAUUGGACUUGUUGGAAAACUUUGUAACAAAUACGAUAAUGUCAACAAGGUUGUUUCGAGUGGUUAACAGCUUGUGCCAAACGUGUUGACAACUUGGGACAAGCAGUGCGAACACAACUUGUUGACGGCUUGUUGACAGACUUGAUGUGAGAAUUUUACGCGUGUAAGGCUGCCAAUAUACGCAUGGAAAAGUUUAAAUCUUUAAAAAUUUUAUAAUAAGCACUGAUUACCUCAAUGAAUACACUUUAAAUCAUACACAAAAAGCUGUCCUUUUAUUUGUUUAAUUAUUUCUUAAGAAAUUUUAAGUACCGUACUGUUAAUAAACGAGCAGGAGUGUUUUGUUAGGUUUAAGCGACCUACAAAACAGGUACUGCGAGUUUAUUACUGAAUUAAACGGCUUCAAACGCGACUUUAUUAGUGUUCUUUAUAUAAAGAGUACUAAGUAGGAAAAGGUUUUAUAUAAAGAAUACUAAUGAGGAGUGUUUUAUGUACUGUUUAAAAAACGAGUAGGAGUGUUUUAUUAGGUUUAAAGCCACGAGCGCGCAGCGCGAGUGGCUUUGGACCUAAUAAAACACGACCUGCGAGUUUUUUAAAUGGCUUCAAAAACGUUUGCAUAAUAAGUCAAAUCUUUAUAUAAAAAUCUUUAUAUA